AUACGAAGGGAGCAAGCGUUGUUCGGAAUUACUGGGCGUAAAGAGCGCGUAGGCGGUUUUAUAAGUUGGGUGUGAAAUCCCUGGGCUCAACCCGGGAAUUGCACUCAAAACUAUGAGACUAGAGUACAGAAGAGGAUGGUGGAACUCCCAGUGUAGAGGUGGAAUUCGUAGAUAUUGGGAAGAACACCAGUGGCGAAGGCGGCCAUCUGGUCUGUAACUGACGCUGAGGCGCGAAAGCGUGGGGAGCAAACAGGAUUAGAUACCCUGGUAGUCCACGCCGUAAACGAUGAAAACUAGACGUUGGGAUGUACACAUCUCAGUGUUGAAGCUAACGCAUGAAGUUUUCCGCCUGGGGAGUACGGCCGCAAGGUUAAA
rnacentral:rRNA from 1 species